AGUGAACGCUGGCGGUAGGCCUAACACAUGCAAGUCGAACGAUGGCGGACGGGUGAGGAAUGCAUGGAAUCUACUCUUUCGGGGGGAUAACGUAGGGAAACUUACGCUAAUACCGCAUACGAAUGAAUGAGCCGAUGCCCGAUUAGCUAGUUGGCGGGGUAAGGCCCACCAAGGCGACGACGGUAGCUGGUCUGAGAGGAUGAUCAGCCACACUGGAACUGAGACACGGUCCAGACUCCUACGGGAGGCAGCAGUGGGGAAUAUUGGACAAUGGGCGCAAGCCUGAUCCAGCCAUACCGCGUGGGUGAAGAAGGCCUUCGGGUUGUAAAGCCCUUUUGUUGGGAAGCGGUACCCAAAGAAUAAGCACCGGCUAACUUCGUGCCAGCAGCCGCGGUAAUACGAAGGGUGCAAGCGUUACUCGGAAUUACUGGGCGUAAAGCGUGCGUAGGUGGUUGUUUAAGUCUGUCGUGAAAGCCCUGGGCUCAACCUGGAAUUGCGAUGGAAACUGGGCACUAGAGUGUGGCAGAGGAUAGUGGAAUUCCUGGUGUAGCAGUGAAAGCGAGAGAC
rnacentral:rRNA from 1 species